GGAUCAGGUAGGGAUACCCGCUGAACUUAAGCAUAUCAAUAGCCGGAGGAAAA
rnacentral:rRNA from 1 species